rnacentral:rRNA from 1 species
UCUUAGUGGCGGACGGGUGAGUAACGCGUGGGUAACCUGCCUUAUACAGGGGGAUAACACUUAGAAAUAGGUGCUAAUACCGCAUAAGCGCACGGGGCUGCAUGGCCCAGUGUGAAAAACUCCGGUGGUAUAAGAUGGACCCGCGUCUGAUUAGCUUGUUGGCGGGGUAACGGCCCACCAAGGCGACGAUCAGUAGCCGGCCUGAGAGGGCGGACGGCCACACUGGGACUGAGACACGGCCCAGACUCCUACGGAAGGCAGCAG